CGCAUCCUUAUCGUCCCCUACGAGUUUUUGACGCGAGCGAGUUCGAGCGUGUUUCGAGAGUUUCGUGGAGUGUGGGAAGUGAAGUAAAUUGUCGGGCGUUCGUGCCAACAUUCGUCGUCAGUCGGAUGUAAUGUCGUAUUGUGCAAAGUUGCGUCGCGUUUAACCGUGUUUUGCAUCUUCUUCGCUGCUUGAUAUCUUGAGUUUCUGAUGCAGAAAGAAGAUUAUUGCAAGGAGCAAGUGCAAAUCUUGCAAAGAAAAUAACGCAGCGGAUGCGUGGUGGAUCGUCUCCGAAUCGAAUGGCAUCGCGGAUCAUUUAGUUGAACGUCGCAAUGCUGAGGGGGAUCGGUUCGGGGAUGGAUCGCGAUGUUUAAAACGGUGGCGGACACGGAACGGAUCGGCUCCGGAACGAGUGGCAUUGCGGAUCCUUUAAACGGAACACAACGCAGACCAGAGCGUGGGAACAAAUGGCGUCACAUACUGACUUCAGAUUUUUGUAAAUGAUUAGUCUGCCCAUGAUUUUGGUCGCAAGUGUUUUUCGUGCAAGAGGAGAAGAAGGAAGAGGUCUGAUGAUCUAAAUAUAUUUUGAGAGGAGGAGGAGGCCUGGGAGAGAAGGCAUCAGGCCCCAGCGGAGCAACUUUGGGUAUCGUCGCAGCGUCGUGGCUGAUUAACUCCGCUCGUUGCGCAUCAGGACGGUGCGUGUGGCAGCUACAAUAGGCUGACAUCAGAGAAGGUCGAGGUCCGGAGAGCAGCACAAGAGUACGUCGGGCCGAGAUCACGUUCAGACGCAGCACGAGCGCUCGUGCACUCGCAAUUUUUUUCCAAAAGGAUACUUCAUCAAACGCCAAAGCCACGGAAAUUACAGGAAGAUCCUAAAGAGCGACACGGGGGGAGCGGGGCAGAGCACGACGAGCCGCGUCCGUAUCUCUCGCAUUUUUUCGAUCGACGCCUAUGGGAGGAGGAGGAGGAGGAGGAGGAGAAGGAAGCUGGAGAAGUCAGGCGAAAGAAACGGUACUCCGAGGAUCACCGCGGAUGAACGUUCCAUCCCAUAAGCUUGUCCUCCAUCGGAACGUACAGUGUGUCUCGUGGCUUGGUGCACGGACUGCGCACCGCCUGCUGCAUCGUAUGUCGCGCCUCUCUACCCCCCGGGUAGAGAGUCUCUCCACGGAUACGUGCAGCCCGAAGAUGCGCCGCGGGAUCACCGACUGACAGCUCCCUAAUGGAACCCGUAAAUACCGCACGGGGGCACGUUAUGUUUUCCAAAUGAAAUCCCGAAAAUUUACUUCGGAAACUCAGCGUCGCCCCGUCGUCGUUUAUCCCCCCGAGGCGACACAUACACGUUUCGCCUUCUCUCCCAAUGAUAAUAAACGUUAAUAAUCGUUAGGUUAUUGGUAUUAUUGUUAUUGGUCAUCUCUGGUUAUAUUGAAACGCGAAUCGAGAGCAUUCGCAAUGAACCCGAGUUAUGAGCGCCGUUAUGCGAUUGACGUGGGCACGAUAAUCAAAUCUAAAGCAACGAAAAAUCGUCUAUAAACGGAGGGGCAAGGGGGAGGGGGCGGAUAAUUAGGCGAGCUCCGUAUUGAUUGAUUCAAUUUCCAACUCGAUGAAACGUCCACUUUAAUUACACGAACGAACAAUACGUCGGCGAUUAAUAUUCAUAUUGCAAUAUUGUAAUAUCGCGAUACGUAAUACCGUAAUACGCUAAUAUCCCGGAUGUAAUAAUAGUCCGCUUAGCGUUAUUUAUGCGCGAUUAAUUACUGCGGUGUAAACGUGAAAAAGGAGGCCGUCGCCGCGCGCGUUAUCGAAGAUUCGAUAGAAUUCACGAGUGACAAGGAUGCACGACGACAUUAUAUAAAUCUAUAUAUAAAUAAUAAAAUAAUUCAAUGCUGACGGACAAAAGGACGAGACGCAACACCUCUCUCUCUCUCAUACCCUGGCGUAUUUGGUUACAUUAUUACCGCGCAUGUAUGCAUAACUCGACGAUUACCGGUGCGGUGGCGGCGGCGACGGCGACGGCGGCGAGAGAUGCGGGCGCGUAUACGUAAUCGAUAUCGAAGCCAGAUAAAAAUGAUAUUACGGUCGCCAGCGAUUAUGAUACCCGCAUCGCAGAUCGAAUCGGUCGCGGCGAACGCGCGCGCGCGCGCACGCCUCCGCCCCCGGCGUUCCGCCGCGCGCGGCCGCUCGACUGCGACUCCGGCCAGAUAUAGGAUGCAGAUUGCAAAUACGAUUAAGCGUUAUUGCGUUUUCUACUUUUCUCGGAAUUACAUUCUUUCGAAUUUUAUUACCCGCCGAUAUCGAUUGGCCGCGGCGCAUACCGACGUCUCCUGGCAUGCGCGCACACGAGUUAACGCGUAUUACGCGAGACCGGCCGACUGACCGACCGAACGUUACAAUCGCCGCGUGCCAAAGCGUGUCAUGUUAAUUUGCAAAAAUUGACGCUCUGUGAAAGAGCUCGGGAAAUCAAACGGUCGAGAAGCCGGGGAGGACUGAAGCGAUUUUAAUCGCCCGCCAAACGAAUUUCCGAAUAAAUCUGCGACUGAAAAGUCAUACUCGAGAACUGUCGCUCUACGAGAAUUGGUUCUUUUCUUUUUUCUUAGUGGAAAAGAUGGUGUAUUAUGAGCUGUUCAGGUACGGAGCGAGCAUCCGCAUUGUCUCCGUUAUUAGGUAACGAAUUGCUAGUAAUUACUCGUAAAAUCAUUUAUUUAGUAAUUUUCCAUUAUGUAGUGACGUUAAUUUUUAUUUUUGAAACCUUUUAAAAGCAUAUUUUAACAUUUAAUUACACAUACUUGUUUAUUGU